rnacentral:rRNA from 1 species
CGAUGGGGCUCACCUCUUACCAUUCCGAACAGAGAAGUUAAGCCCAUUAGCGCCGAUGGUACUACAUUUGUGGGAGAGUAGGUCGUUGCCUUUU